GAAGCUGCAAUCAAGAACUACUGGAAUUAAUGCUGAAAGAAGCAGCCAUAAAUAAUCUCUAUCUAUGCAUCCGAAGCUCACAUUCUUAUUGUCAAGUAAAAAAAUUUCGACAUCUUAGAACAAACACUUCCCUAUUCAUGCCAAUCCACGAGUUGACAAAACAACUCACUGAAAGAGCAAGCUGAAAUAAUGCUGAAAGAAGUAGCCAUAAAUAAUCACUAUCUAUGCAGAAGGCAAGCUCUAACUUAUCACCUUAAACUUGACGUGUUCAUAAAUAAGAAAUUAUGGCCAAAUCGAUUCCGGAUGGUCUAUCCAUAUAUUCUGAAAACUAAUAGGGAGUUUCUAGAAGAACAUGCAAGCUCACACCAA
rnacentral:misc_RNA from 1 species